rnacentral:lncRNA from 1 species
AUGUUUAGGAGGGGAUAAACUGGGGGAUUUGAAGGCCAGGUUAAGAGGGCUCUUGGCUCCCAGCUUCUCCACCCAGUCCGUCUGCCCGUGAGGAUGCCACGCCCCUCCUCCUGGAUUUGCCUUGGACCUGCCUGGACGGUUAAUAUUAACCUGAGGUGAUGAGCUCCCUUGCCAGGUUCCAGGGCCUCUUAGAAAGGUGGGAUGCUGACUCACUGCCUACGUGGCAGCCACGUGUUUCCACAGCGCCUAGGCAGCAGCAGCCAGCGGGCGGCCUCCUGCGCUAAGCAGAAGGGCCUUUUCCUCGGGGCGAGGAAGGGGAAAAGUAGCUGGUUUUCAGUGUCUCCAUCAGGGGAGGAAGGGCGCGUUAGCAAGGAGGAAGGAGGGCGUUCCAAGCAGCUUAGGGAAAAGCUUCCCCUGAUGGGCUCCCUGCUGCUCCAUCUGCCGUCUACAUCUCCGGAGGGUGUCUCCAGUUUUCCCCAAUCACCAACUAACACGCAAGGGGAGGCCGGGCUGGUGUGGAAUGAAGAUUUAUGAAAAGCACAACCAAGGAAGGGUUAAAGGCAACCUGUGAUAUGACCUGUCUGCGGAACGCUUAGCCCCUCCAACAAGGCCCUGCAAGUUCCAGAAGCAAAGGCCAGGUCUCCCUGUCUCUCUGCCUCGCUCCCACCCUCUGGACCACAUUUUCUUCGCUCUGAAGACAGAGGUGCCUGAGGCUGUCAAACCUCCUCCCACCGCACCCCGCCCCCAGCAUGUUAGCAAAUCUCUGGAUAAGGAUAGAGAAGCCAGGCUUCACGCGCCUUUCCUUCUGCCCCUGUGAACCUCCCAACAAAAGUAAAAUUAAAUAAAAUGAAAAGUUCUGUGCAAUUGAGAUUGUAGAAACUGACAGCUACAAACCUGGCACACAUGGGAAUAACAGGAGAGAGCACGGGACCUGCAGAUGUCAAAAGACGUUAUUCUGAACGCAAGUGCUCCUGCCGGGAGGGAAGCUGCCCUGCGGCUUCUCUCAAUGCCUUUAACCCUAAAAACACCGUGGCAAUGCUGAGACAGAUCUGGGUACGCUGGCAGGGGUACAUCCACCUUCUCAGCUCUGACACCCCCAGCAAGGUUUGAAAGCUCAGAAAGUUCCAAGAAAGCCCCUCUCCUGCCUGACCUGCUGGUACUGAGGCGGAAGCAUGGAGGAAGAAGAGAGGCUGGAAGGCAGCAGCAACGUAAAUCCAGCCCUGGGCCACAGCCCUGAAGUAAAGCCCUGACUUUCAGGAGGCUGGGACUCGCUCAGCUUCUGUUAAGCUGAAACAUGCCUGGUGCUACAGCUUAUGGGCGCUGGCUAAUCGCACCUUCUGAUUCACACCAUUAUUAAACCGACAGCUUGGGCAACAAGGAGAAUCACCCAGGGCCCAGCGCUCCAGGCCAAAACUGAGCAGAGUGCAAACUCAGGGCACGCAGAUGUUUGGUAAAUGAGUGGUGUGACUGCCCGGCCUGCUUUCUGCCCCAGACCAUGCGACUUGUCCCUCCAGAGAAGAGGAAAGUCUUAGGGAGAGGAGCCUGGCUCCCUCUGGACCACAUUUGCCUGUCUAGGGAGUCGCCGCUUCCCACAGCUGUCACACCCUGUUUUAAGACACCAGAACUAACCCACUGGGCCGCUGACAUCCCUUGCCAGCCUGGGGCCCGCGUGCAGGUUGGAGCACGCAGCUGACAUCACGCCUCAGUCUGGGUUAGCUGUCCCAGGAGCCCGAAUCCCGUCGCUCCUGCACAUGACCCCAGUUGCAACAGUGGGUUAAAGUUCAGAAGCAGGACCUCUGAGCUGUCCCUUCCAGCAGCCUCGCUAAUAAAGACCUCUGACCAGUCUUUCUGCUGCUGAUCCCCAUUUACAGUAGAUUAAUGGAAAUUUAAUAUUUUUUCCAAAAUAAGCAACGAGCCUAGUGCUUUAUUUUUCAGCACCCAGCUUAUGUUUUAUUUAUUUUUUAAAUUCAACUUAUUUAAAUUAAAACCAAAAAAACUGGCUCACCUAUUUCUUAUUUUGAGUAAAAUAAACACAUCAGUCUUCUAAGGGAUGUUUUCAGAGGUGAGGCUGAGGAGCUUCUUCUCCUUUCCAGCUGCUCAUGGAAUCAGGGUUUGCGAUCAGCAAGCAAACCCAAGCAAUGCUGAUGCCGUGAGUCAGCCCUGAGCCCCAGGGGCUGGCUGAAGGAUCCAGGGGCCUUUGGCCGUGUCUGGAGGUGUGUGUUGUUGGUAGAACCUGGAGAGAGCAGGGCUGCUAUCACUGUCACCUAGUGGGUAGAUGCCAAGCAUCUGCUCUACAUCCUAACAAUGCAAGGCUGGCCCCCCGCAGCAAAGAGGGGCUGAUCCCAAAUGUCAAAGUUCCAAGAAGGAGAAACCUCCGUCUAGAUUCAUCUCAAGCUUCGCUCACCCUGCUCCCCAAAAGCUCUCCUUCUCUCCAUGAAAGAGAGAGGAGCAGCCUCUUCACGUCAGGUCCAGACCUCUCCCGUAGCAAUCAGCACAUUGCAUGUGACUGUCUACUUCCCAGUCUCUUCCCCAGGCUUCUGGGAGGCAAGGAAUUUGUCAUCUUCUUCUCUUUAUGCCACUGGAUAUUGUGCAUAGUAAGGUCUCAGGGCCUGACAUGCAAGGAGAAAAGUGACUGAAUUGGAUCCAGGCCAGAAAGCAUUAUACAAUGCAUUGAGAAUAAUGUCUACACCUUGCCCCCAGGAUUCACAUAAUCUCUUAUUUACACUACCAUUAGUGGCAUUUAACAUAUAAAGACCACAAUGUGCCCAGUAUCACAGAGAACAUAAAUUUUAGACACAGAUUGUUUUUCGCUUCAGCUUACACAAUAAAAUUGGCUGGCAAGCCAGUACAUCAAGGUCAAAAAAGUUUUUCAAAUACCAGCAAUUGCUCUUAACCAAUCAAAAAAAUAGAUUGUCUUUCAGUACGUGUGCUGCCUUGUGAAAAGAGAGGGAUUAGAGGAAGGAUCUUCAGUCAAAGAACAAAUUCUUGGAGAGACUGUAAAAAAGAAGGAGCCCUCAGAAACCCAAGAGUUAUUACCCUCCUGCUUGGCCACAAAGCAGUAAUAACUUAGGUAUAAAAUACGUGGAAGGAAAAAAGGCAAAACUUUCCCCAAAAUAAAGCCUUCUCCACACAGCUAACUUACUCACCCAGAUUCCAGAACGUUAAGGGAAGUCAGUCGGUAGGAAAUCAAAUGUGUGAAAAAAUGAGGAAAACAUAAAAAAAAUCUGCUUUGGCCCCAUGCAGCUCAACCAAGUGUCUUCUUGAUGUCACCCAAAGGGAUGUUCAGAAUGCUGGUACCUACACACCCUCACCACAGACACUGUCAGAGUCAGAAUGCUCUUUAUCCAAGUGCCUGGACAACCAUUCAACCAGCCAGAGGAAUGGGACUCACAAUAAGGGAGUACAGACAUUAAGAGCAGAAUGUGAGGUCAAUGGCUGUAGGAAAAAGAAAAACGGAUUCAACACCAAAGAAGCCGGUUAGAGACCAUGAACCUGUUCCUUUCACCGCACACAGAUUUUCUGUUCUGUUUGCCAAAGAUUCAAGAUGUCCAUGCCAAAUAUGUGUGUGUUGAGAGCCUCGAGUCACUGCUGACCCCCAGCAGCCCAUAUGGGAGCCACAUAGAAGGGCCAUGAGUGGGGCUGCAUGCUCUCAUCCCUGAGGA